UACGAGAGGUCCAAACGUUAUUCGGAAUCACUGGGCUUACAGAGUUCGUAGGCGGUUCUACAAGUGGGGUGUGAAAGCCCUCGGCUCAACCGAGGAACUGCGCUCCAAACUGUAGAACUAGAGGGAGAUAGAGGUGAGCGGAACUGAUGGUGGAGCGGUGAAAUGCGUUGAUAUCAUCAGGAACACCGGAGGCGAAGGCGGUUCACUGGGUCUCUUCUGACGCUGAGGAACGAAAGCUAGGGGAGCGAACUGG
rnacentral:rRNA from 1 species